rnacentral:rRNA from 1 species
GGUUAAGCGACUAAGCGUACACGGUGGAUGCCCCGGCAGUCAGAGGCGAUGAAGGACGUGCUAAUCUGCGAUAAGCGUCGGUAAGGUGAUAUGAACCGUUAUAACCGGCGAUUUCCGAAUGGGGAAACCCAGUGUGUUUCGACACACUAUCAUUAACUGAAUCCAUAGGUUAAUGAGGCGAACCGGGGAACUGAAACAUCUAAGUACCCCGAGGAAAAGAAAUCAACCGAGAUUCCCCAGUAGCGGCGAGCGAACGGGGAGGAGCCCAGAGCCUGAAUCAGUGUGUGUGUUAGUGGAAGCGUCUGGAAAGGCGCGCGAUACAGGGUGACAGCCCCGUACACAAAAAUGCACAUACUGUGAGCUCGAUGAGUAGGGCGGGACACGUGGUAUCCUGUCUGAAUAUGGGGGACCAUCCUCCAAGGCUAAAUACUCCUGACUGACCGAUAGUGAACCAGUACCGUGAGGGAAAGGCGAAAAGAACCCCGGCGAGGGGAGUGAAAAAGAACCUGAAACCGUGUACGUACAAGCAGUGGGAGCCUCUUUAUGGGGUGACUGCGUACCUUUUGUAUAAUGGGUCAGCGACUUAUAUUCUGUAGCAAGGUUAACCGAAUAGGGGAGCCGAAGGGAAACCGAGUCUUAACUGGGCGUUAAGUUGCAGGGUAUAGACCCGAAACCCGGUGAUUCUAGCCAUGGGCAGGUUGAAGGUUGGGUAACACUAACUGGAGGACCGAACCGACUAAUGUUGAAAAAUUAGCGGAUGACUUGUGGCUGGGGGUGAAAGGCCAAUCAAACCGGGAGAUAGCUGGUUCUCCCCGAAAGCUAUUUAGGUAGCGCCUCGUGAAUUCAUCUCCGGGGUAGAGCACUGUUUCGGCAAGGGGGUCAUCCCGACUUACCAACCCGAUGCAAACUGCGAAUACCGGAGAAUGUUAUCACGGGAGACACACGGCGGGUGCUAACGUCCGUCGUGAAGAGGGAAACAACCCAGACCGCCAGCUAAGGUCCCAAAGUCAUGGUUAAGUGGGAAACGAUGUGGGAAGGCCCAGACAGCCGGGAUGUUGGCUUAGAAGCAGCCAUCAUUUAAAGAAAGCGUAAUAGCUCACUGGUCGAGUCGGCCUGCGCGGAAGAUGUAACGGGGCUAAACCAUGCACCGAAGCUGCGGCAGCGACGCUUAUGCGUUGUUGGGUAGGGGAGCGUUCUGUAAGCCUGCGAAGGUGUGCUGUGAGGCAUGCUGGAGGUAUCAGAAGUGCGAAUGCUGACAUAAGUAACGAUAAAGCGGGUGAAAAGCCCGCUCGCCGGAAGACCAAGGGUUCCUGUCCAACGUUAAUCGGGGCAGGGUGAGUCGACCCUAAGGCGAGGCCGAAAGGCGUAGUCGAUGGGAAACAGGUUAAUAUUCCUGUACUUGGUGUUACUGCGAAGGGGGACGGAGAAGGCUAUGUUGGCCGGGCGACGGUUGUCCCGGUUUAAGCGUGUAGGCUGGUUUUCCGGGCAAAUCCGGAAAAUCAAGGCUGAGGCGUGAUGACGAGGCACUACGGUGCUGAAGCAACAAAUGCCCUGCUUCCGGGAAAAGCCUCUAAGCAUCAGGUAACAUCAAAUCGUACCCCAAACCGACACAGGUGGUCAGGUAGAGAAUACCAAGGCGCUUGAGAGAACUCGGGUGAAGGAACUAGGCAAAAUGGUGCCGUAACUUCGGGAGAAGGCACGCUGAUAUGUAGGUGAAGCGACUUGCUCGUGGAGCUGAAAUCAGUCGAAGAUACCAGCUGGCUGCAACUGUUUAUUAAAAACACAGCACUGUGCAAACACGAAAGUGGACGUAUACGGUGUGACGCCUGCCCGGUGCCGGAAGGUUAAUUGAUGGGGUUAGCGGUAACGCGAAGCUCUUGAUCGAAGCCCCGGUAAACGGCGGUACGUAACUAUAACGGUCCUAAGGUAGCGAAAUUCCUUGUCGGGUAAGUUCCGACCUGCACGAAUGGCGUAAUGAUGGCCGGGCUGUCUCCACCCGAGACUCAGUGAAAUUGAACUCGCUGUGAAGAUGCAGUGUACCCGCGGCAAGACGGAAAGACCCCGUGAACCUUUACUAUAGCUUGACACUGAACAUUGAGCCUUGAUGUGUAGGAUAGGUGGGAGGCUUUGAAGUGUGGACGCCAGUCUGCAUGGAGCCGACCUUGAAAUACCACCCUUUAAUGUUUGAUGUUCUAACGUUGGCCCCUGAUCGGGGUUGCGGACAGUGUCUGGUGGGUAGUUUGACUGGGGCGGUCUCCUCCUAAAGAGUAACGGAGGAGCACGAAGGUUGGCUAAUCCUGGUCGGACAUCAGGAGGUUAGUGCAAUGGCAUAAGCCAGCUUGACUGCGAGCGUGACGGCGCGAGCAGGUGCGAAAGCAGGUCAUAGUGAUCCGGUGGUUCUGAAUGGAAGGGCCAUCGCUCAACGGAUAAAAGGUACUCCGGGGAUAACAGGCUGAUACCGCCCAAGAGUUCAUAUCGACGGCGGUGUUUGGCACCUCGAUGUCGGCUCAUCACAUCCCGGGGCUGAAGUAGGUCCCAAGGGUAUGGCUGUUCGCCAUUUAAAGUGGUACGCGAGCUGGGUUUAGAACGUCGUGAGACAGUUCGGUCCCUAUCUGCCGUGGGCGCUGGAGAACUGAGGGGGCUGCUCCUAGUACGAGAGGACCGGAGUGGACGCAUCACUGGUGUUCGGGUUGUCAUGCCAAUGGCACUGCCCGGUAGCUAAAUGCGGAAGAGAUAAGUGCUGAAAGCAUCUAAGCACGAAACUUGCCCCGAGAUGAGUUCUCCCUGAGACUUUAAGUCUCCUGAAGGAACGUUGAAGACGACGACGUUGAUAGGCCGGGUGUGUAAGCGCAGCGAUGCGUUGAGCUAACCGGUACUAAUGAACCGUGAGGCUUAACCUU